ensembl:lncRNA
AAACAGGAUCUCAGAGGCUGGCAACUCUUUGGGGGGGAAUAACACGCAGAAAACACUACUAUCGCUAAUAUUUUCAAGGGGGUUUGAUGUCCCAGAGCUUUCACACCUCCACACAAGAUGGCCAGCCUCGUAGGGUAGGAUGAGGAGGAGGAAGAGGAAGCUGCACUCUUCCUCCUUUCGAUAGCGCAGAGGCGAGGAGCAGAUGGUGCGAGAGAUUGGAAACAUCGUCUGGAGUCGGCCAACCCUGGGCUAAUGGCAAGCUGUGCUGGCAGCGCCGCCCAAACAGUAGCAGAAACUGAGGGCGCCGGGAUAAAACUCUCUUCUCCACAGAUCUAGUGCGGAUGCCUUGUCUAGAAUCAGUUUCAUCGAAACAAACUGGCAUUGGUCUAAAUCCACAAAAUUCCUAACACCUGGCAGGAGAUGCUGCGGGGUAAACCCAGUGUUACCUUUGGAGAAAGUACCAUCACUGAGGUAGUUUCUAUGCAACGACGAAACGUUCAGUGGGGUGGCCGGGUCAGUGCACCAGGGCCCAGAAGAAGCCCCAGUGGAUUGUGGGGGUGGGAGUGGCAGAGAACAGCCAUCUGCUGCAGGAGAACAGCUAUUUUUCAUCAAGGGAGAGAAAAGAGUAAACUCAUCGACCUUUAGGGACCCAAGCAGCUCAUUUUGCCUCUCCCGCCUGAUGUUCGGAGGCUCUGCUGCUGCUGACAGCUCCUGCAUGUCUCGGUUUAAAAACAGUAGCUGUCACAGAUCACGGCAGGCACGCUGGGGAUUAAGAAGACAGUGAUACCUGCCAACAUGACAUAAGCGUGAACUGUCGCCGAUGAUUGACGACGUAACUGGAGAUGCUGUCUUUCUUCGGUUUAUUGUCCUCCUGACCUUGAGUCCUCAAAAACCCUUUCUUCUCAGCUUCAUCUCCACUGCUUUGCACACAGCAGCUACAGCAACCGUAGCUCAUUUUUAACUCGGCAAUGCCGCCACUCCCCCCUCCGAGGUUUGCUGCACAGGUUCAUAUGAGGACAAGGAAGGCAGCUGGGUGCCAGAUGAGAACGGUAAUUAGGCCGCUAUCCACCGGACUUUGGUUACAGGUGCAGAUCUGCCUGCAGGGAUGAACAAAGCUGUCAAUGGAAAAGAUCAUUCAUGCUGAAACAACAGAAAAGAAGGUGGGGGGAGACUGGCCAGCUUCUGCUACAGAGAGCCUGGGCCAAGGCAAGAUAAAUCGCUCUGAGUGGCAUCGCGACAAGCCGAAAGCAGGCGUAUAAAUCAUUUUCCUGGGAGCUUUAAGAGCAAAAAGUGGAGGCUCUGAUUUUAGCUCGAGCGGCUGUGCACAGAUAGAGCUAUCACCAGCCAGUCUGGGCUACCUGCUGCUGGUGCUGUUUUUGAUCAAACGUGUUUAAUUAGACAAGAGAGCCAAAGAUGUUGUAGGAGUGGAGUCCUUCUGAGAAUUAUAGUGACUCUAAAGAAUCUCAGAAAGGUCUACAUAGGAGCCUUCCAGUGGCAAACAGCAGGAAAAGCCCAUUAUGUUGGCAUGUUUGUUGCAUGCUACAUUCUCUCUAUGUUUUGCAGUGGUUAGGUGUUCACAUACAUGUGGCCUGAUAGUAUCAUUUCACAGUUCACAACGUGACUGGACAUUAAGUGGUUCAUAAAGAUGAUUUUUAGAGAAUCAUUUUAGAAAAAUGACAACACAAAGGCUGCAAUGGCCACUUUAUUAGUUACAACCGUUCAACCGCUUAUUAAAAUGGAAAUCAGUCAGUCACAUGGCUGCAAUUCACUGCAUGUAAGCAUGUACACAUGGUUAAAACAACCUGCUGAAGUUCAAGCUGAGCAAAUGUCUUGUUGAUGCCAGAGCUCAGAAAAGAAUGGCUGAUUCAAACUGAUAGGAAGCCAACAGUUACUCAAAUUACCACUUUUUACAACCAAGGUAUGCAGAAGAGCAUCUUUGAAUCCACAGCAGAGGAGCAGAAGACCACCGGGUCCCACUUUUGUCAGCUAAGAACAGCAAACUGAGGCUAUAAUUUGCAAAGACUCACCAAAACUGGACAAUCGACUGUCCGUCACAUUCAAUGAAGAUGUGAGAAUGAGAUUAAUAAUACAAUAAUACUCCAGCAUGAAGCGUACGGGACCACGCGUGGCUGUCCAGAGCCAGCUGUUCCCAGUUGUCUACAUCAAUCAGCAUUGCUUUCAGAUCCCUGUUGAUGGAGUCUUUCUGAACAAUAGCAGAUUGAAAAAAUGUUCCCUGGUGUCCUGAGCCUUGAUCUCUACUCUCUGAGAAACAUGCCCAGUGCCUUGUUGAAUUUGUCCCAUUUAGAAUUAAGACAUGAGACAAAACGGGGUCCAACCCAGUACUAGCAAGCUGUACUUAAUAAAGUAGCUGUUCAGUGUCAAUGUCAAAUGUAUUUUGCUUUUUUUUUUUAUGAAUAAGUAGAUAAAAUUAUUUUUGUGCUGUUCUGAGUAUAAACUAUAUUUUUCACUUAUUUUGUAGAUAAAAUAUACUUUAUUUUUGCCCAAAGCUGGG